GAUGAACGCUGGCGGCGUGCCUAAUACAUGCAAGUCGAGCGAACGGACGAGAAGCUUGCUUCUCUGAUGUUAGCGGCGGAAGGGUGAGUAAAACGUGGAUAAACUACCUAUAAGACUGGGAUAACCUCGGGAAACCGGAGCUAAUACCGGAUAAUAUUUUGAACCGCAUGGUUCAAAAGUGAAAGACGGUCUUGCUGUCACUUAUAGAUGGAUCCGCGCUGCAUUAGCUAGUUGGUAAGGUAACGGCUUACCAAGGCAACGAUGCAUAGCCGACCUGAGAGGGUGAUCGGCCACACUGGAACUGAGACACGGUCCAGACUCCUACGGGAGGCAGCAGUAGGGAAUCUUCCGCAAUGGGCGAAAGCCUGACGGAGCAACGCCGCGUGAGUGAUGAAGGUCUUCUGAUCGUAAAACUCUGUUAUUAGGGAAGAACAUAUGUGUAAGUAACUGUGCACAUCUUGACGGUACCUAAUCAGAAAGCCACGGCUAACUACGUG
rnacentral:rRNA from 1 species